rnacentral:tRNA from 1 species
AGCCCAAGGCAGAUGCUCAACCGCUGAGCCACCCAGGCUUUGUUUUCAACGGCCCCCAACCUGACAUCCUACUCCUAUCAAUACUUAAAUGAAGGCAAGACAGAAACGAGUUCCUUUGCAACACACACACACACACAAAAUCAGCACAUUGGACAUAUAUUUCACUCCUUCGCUUCCGGAGGAAGGAGUCGGGAACUGAGGAUUUCCUCCCAAUCAGACCAGCCAUGCCAUGAGAUGCUGAGAAGGGUUCUGAGUUUUGGCUUCGAGGGCACCUGGGUGGCCCAGUCAACUAGAUAUAUCUGACUCGAUUUCGGCUCAAGCCAUGAUCUCAGGCUCGUGGGAUCAUGCCCUGCAUUGACUCCACACUCAGGACGGAGUCUGCUUGAGAUUCUCUGCCCAUGUCCCUCCCUCUACUCACACUCUCUCUUUCUUUCUCUUUCUCUCUCUCUCUAAAAUAAAUAAAUAAAUCUUUUUUAAAAAGAAUUUUGGCUUGAUAUUACUAGACAAUUAAAAUACAUGAGGUUCAAAAACAAACAAGCAAAAAGCAAAACAGAUUCAAAUACAGAGAAAAACUGGUGGCUGCCAGAGGAGUAGGGGAAUGGACAAAAGGGGUGAAAGGGAGGGAAAGGUACAGGCUUCCAGUUAUGGAAUGAAUAAGUCAUGGGGAUGAAAGGUACACCGUAAGGAAUAUAGUCAAUGGUAUUGUAAGAACAUUGUAUGGUGACAGAUGGUAGCUACACUUGUGAGCUUGAAAUAAUAUAUAGACUUGUUGAAUCUCUGUGGGUUUGUUGUUGUUGUUGGUUUUAAGCUUGUAUUUAUUUAAAUUAUCUCUACACCCAACACAGGGUUCAAACUUGCAACCCUGAGAUCAAGAGUCAUACGCUCUGCCAACUGAGCCAGCCAGGUGCCCCUUGAAUUGCUGUUAUUCACAUGAAACUAAUGUAACGUGUGUUAAUUAUAUUUCCAUUUUUAAAAAGAAAGAUACUUCAGGUUCAGUUUAAUCUUUUCAAACCCUGCUUUUAAAAUUUGUUACAACAGGUCUAGAUUAGCUUUUAUACUUGAGCUAGUUCAAUACUAUUCUUAAAGGGUGGCCUUUCUGAUGUGUCUAAGAAUGCUCCUAGUUUUCAGUGAAAUUCCUCCACCUUGGCUGAUCAGAAUUCAAAUGUCUGCCACUCUGAAUGAAUUCCAGUAGUUACUCAAUGUACAGCUCCUAGCAAUAUUCAGCUAAAGUCUUGUGGGGAUCCUUAUACAGGUUUCUAGAAGUUUUUCUCUGCAUACCAUCCUCCUCUUCUACUCCACAAUUCAGUCUCUGCCUCCCUAUAAUCUAUUUUUGUCUCUUUAACUCAGCAAUACAACCAUGCUCUGCCUUCCUGGAUCUCAGAUCUCAAAAGUGUGGGAAGGAAAAAAAGCUAAGGUGAUGGUAGGGCUCACUUCAAUUGUUUCCCUUCUCUCUGAAAGUAUAGUUUUGUGCUGCAUGUUUUCCAAUAGCUGAAAACAGGUAUUUCCUAUGAUUUGUCCAGUAUGUAAUUGUUUGCAUGAGGAUAGCUAGUCUGGUACCAAUUACUCCUUUUUUGUAAGAUUUUAUUUAUUUACUCAUGAGAGACACACAGAGAGGCAGAGUCAUAGGCAGAGGGAGAAGCAGGUUCCUUCUUUUUUUUUUUUAUAAAUUUAUUUUUUAUUGGUGUUCAAUUUGCCAACAUACAGAAUAACACCCAGUGCUCAUCCUGUCAAGUGCCCCCCUCAGUGCCCGUCAGGCUCCUUGCAGGGAGCCUGAUGUGGGACUCCAUCCUGGAACCCUGGGAUCAUGCCCUGAGUCAAAGGCAGAUGGCCAACCACUGAGCUACCCAGGCAUCCCCAACUACUCCUUCAUAAGUGGAAGCUGAAGACCCUUUGCCUCCUUUUUAAUUUUCUAAGCCCUUUGCUCCCCUUUAAAUUCUAUUUCACAUUCCCUGCACUCCAUUAACUUCCCUUACUCCUUCCUCUGCAAGUUCAAAAAAAUCCAUAGCUCUUCUGUGGCAGGUAUCACAUCCCUAUUGCACCACAGUUCCCUGCAGGAAGAAAGAACCUCUUCUUGACCAUCC